UUUACUUCAUUUAAGGAAGAUAUAUCUAAGAGAAACGACAUGAUUCCAAGUUAAUGUGUUCAACAGCAAUGCACAAGGCAGCCCUCUCAAGCAGCAAUACAUAAACAAAGAAAAUGUAAUAUAGAAGAUAUUAUAUCUUGCUUACAUGGAUUCAUAUAAAUAGAUAUGAACGAAUCGGCAGCUUUAGGAUCAAACAUUGUUUGUUUGAGUUGCUUGAGAGAAAAUACAAUAUGGGACCCUGGAGAUCGAGAUUUCAUGGAAAAGGCAGGAUGUAUCCAAUACAAGAAUGUACAUAUAAGGA